UGUGAGCUUUAAGACUUGCCUGUUUCUGAGAGAAAUUAAAGUUGGGGUUUUAAUUGUUAAUGCACUGAUUUAGAUUUUUCUGUAGACUUUAAAUACGCAUUCACAGCAAGAAUGAAAAUCCAGACAAUCCACAACAGGAUUUCUGUUUCUCUCUCUCAGCUCUCUGGCCAAUCAGCACCAACGCUACCUAUUUUUAUCUGAUACUCCAGAAUACCUGCCUUCAAAUGCACACAGAAAACUAUCAGAUUCACUUUUCGGCUUUGAUUGCACGUUGUAAACUCUUCUUAAAGUUCUGUAUUAAAAGAGAAACUGGGUUGAUUUUAGACCAUGAGCAGGGGUGCCAUGAUGUAGUUUGUCUGAGGAGAGCUGUUAAGUUUUUUUCUUCUUCUUCAAACGGAUAUCAACUUUAGAGAGUUUUACCUUUUUUGGCUGUUUUCUCCAGGCUUCACCAGAACUGUACUUCGCUGGUGUACUUUGGGGUUCCUCAAGGAUCAGUUUUAGGACCCCUGCUUUUCUUAAUAUACACUACAUCACUGGGACCAAUCGUACACGCAUGUUUUUUUCUGUGCCUGCUUUGAUGAUGGAAUGCAGCUCUACCUCUCAAUUCAACCUGAUGGUACCUGCAUGGAUCUCAGACUGCCUACACUCCGGCAUGGAUGGAAGAACAUCACCUACAGCUCAACCUGACAAAGCCUGGUUAAAUGCACGUAUACCCUGAAAUCCAAUUUGACAAUGAGUAAAAGAUCUAAACAACUUAUACUACGAAACAGCACAAAACAAGUUUAAAAUCAAAAUCAAAAACCAGGAAAUCUGGACCUUUGCCUUCAUUUUCUGUGUGGCACUAAAACCUUAAGCACAACUUUUGCAAAACCAGUUUGAAAAGAUUGAAAGCAUCAAUAAAUUCACACAAAUGAUGCACUAAA